CACAUGCAAGUCGAGCGCGUAGCAAUACGAGCGGCAGACGGGUGAGUAACGCGUGGGAAUCUACCCAUCACUACGGAAUAACUCAGGGAAACUUGUGCUAAUACCGUAUACGCCCUUCGGGGGAAAGAUUUAUCGGUGAUGGAUGAGCCCGCGUUGGAUUAGCUAGUUGGUGGGGUAAAGGCCUACCAAGGCGACGAUCCAUAGCUGGUCUGAGAGGAUGAUCAGCCACAUUGGGACUGAGACACGGCCCAAAGUCCUACGGGAGGCAGCAGUGGGGAAUAUUGGACAAUGGGCGCAAGCCUGAUCCAGCCAUGCCGCGUGUGUGAUGAAGGCCUUAGGGUUGUAAAGCACUUUCACCGGAGAAGAUAAUGACGGUAUCCGGAGAAGAAGCCCCGGC
rnacentral:rRNA from 1 species